CGGUAGCAAGCAGAGUAACCCUCUAGACCUUUUUUAAAAGAAAGACAAGCCAACUGCUGGUCUACAUUUACUUAAUGAAGAAAAAAACCACCUCUGUCCAGACCCCGUGGACGAUAUGAUACCUGGCUGGCAUGGACUCCCCCAACCUGGGACGGUUGACCAUCGGGCCUUCCUGGACUCUGAGCAGCGGCGGAGAGAUCUGGAUGUCAGUCUGGCUCAGGUCCAAAAUGCCCUGCAGGAACAGAGGGUCAGAAUGCUCCAGAGGAUGGGCCCAGGGAGCCGACAUAAACUACCCCAGAUACUUGUUUUGAAUCUUGGGCAGAUCAAUCGACCAGUAAACCUCCAUCCCAAUCUGUUAUCGGAGAACAUCUACAUCCCACCAUAUGGUGACCUUUACACUAGAGUGGGCAGGCUAGAGAUGGACUCAGAGAUCAUUAGCGCCCAACUGGACCAGGUUCUCUGUUCUAGGGGAAAGUGUCUCUACAGGAAUGGACCCUCACCCCAACAACACAGCUUGACUCCUUGUCAGAGGGAGGACCAUAGUAUGACCUCUCAGCUUAUUGCUCAAGCAGUAGACAAAGGACAACUUCUGAAAGAGCGAGACAACCUUGAGCGUCUGCUGGAGGAUUCCAGGGCCCAGCAGCAGCUGAUGGAGCAGAAGAGGGAGGCCCAGAUAGCAGCCCUUCACUCCCAGCUGUACCAGGCACGCUCCAGCCUCCAGGAGACCCACAGAGAGACACUGGCCACACAGGCAGAGCUACAUGGCAGCAAGCAGAUAAAUGAGUCCCUGCUACAGGAGGUGGCAUCUCUCAGACGGAGGCCCGGGGCUGCGGAGGAGCGGGCCUCCCUGAUGGAGAGUGACGGACGCCUGCUCAGGGCUCGCAUAGCAGCACUGGAGACUGAGCGGGAGGAGCUGCUUCAACAAGGAGACCUUGCCACAGGGAGACGACAUCCCUCAGCCUUUGGGAGCGCUUGGGAAACGGAUGUGGAAGAUUCCAAAACGUCUGAGAGGUUGAGGGAGGAGAGCGCCGCGUAUGAGAUGGAGGAAGAUGAGGAGGAGAGGGUACAAGGGAAGGAUGUGUCUGUGGACUUAAGACUUAAGAACCGUGAGGUGCCGCUCUCUAAGCCUGGCCUACAGAUAAAGGAAGAGAACCAGAACGGAGAGAAGGGGAUGGGAUUGGUCGAUCGCUGGAAUCCAUGGCAGCACGAGCCAAUAGAAGCCAAUCAAAUGACGGCGCUGGUCAUAGAGCUGCAGCAGCUGAGAACGGCCUGUGAAGAGACAUCAACACUACCGGUCUCCCCCAAGGACCAGAGGGCCAGAGAGUGGCUGUAAAAGAGCUGCUCUGCUCAAAGUAGGACUGCCAACCCAACACUCCUGGUUUGGCUCAGUCUCCCAAGAGGCGUAUUCUCUCAACAAGCCGUUCAGCUAUUUUUCUAACAACUCAAUUGAAUCAAUGAUGUAUUGAAUCAAUGAUGUAUUGAAUGAAUUAAAAGAAUGGACAGAUUUCUGUGUGGUAAUAACAUUGUUUAUGCUUCUACAGUUGACAUGGCCAAUACGCUACUAUACCAGUGGUUCCAGUUAUAUUGACAAGACCCAUUAUUUUUUGUUUGAAAGUCUUUUUUUUCCCUCUCCUCUGUAUAGGACUGUGUGGGAGAGAUGGGGCUGGCUUUCCUGGAGAGAGACUGUGGAGUUCUUCGGGUGGUACCUCCAGGAUCAUUGGCCAGAAGGAAUUUGGUCAGUACGUCACACCCCCAGACCGUGUAACCACACCAGCCAGGCCCUCCACAUCCGGCUUCUUCACCAGCGGGAUCGUCUGAGACCAGCCACUUGGACAGCUGAUGAAACUGAGGAGUAUUUCUGUAAUGAAGCUCUUUAGGGCCUAACUCAUUUCACUUGACUGAUUUCCUUAUAUGAACUGUAACUCAGUAAAAUCUUUAUUUGUUAUAUAUUGUUUAUUUUUGAUCAGUAUAUAAUACCCACUGCUAGUAUGCAUUCAUCUGACUUGGAGAGCAUGGACAGGGUUACUGUGACUUGGAAUACAGUCCAGGAGAGCAUGGGCAGGGUUACUGUGACUUGGUAUACAGUCCAGGAGAGCAUAGGCAGGGUUACUGUGACUUGGUAUACAGUCCAGGAGAGCAUGGGCAGGGUUACUGUGACUUGGUAUACAGUCCAGGAGAGCAUGGGCAGGGUUACUGUGACUUGGUAUACAGUCCAGGAGAUCAUGGGCAGGGUUACUGUGACUUGGUAUACAGUCCAGGAGAGCAUGGGCAGGGUUACUGUGACUUGGUAUACAGUCCAGGAGAGUCGUGGAGAGGAUGUUAGGGUUAUCCUAAGCUAGGGACAGGCCCACUGGGCAAAAACUGGUUGAAUCAACGUUGUUUCUACGUGAUUUCAACCCCCCCAAAAAAUCUGUGUGAUGAUAUUGAAUCAAUGUGGAAAAUUAAUCAAAUUUGCAAAAAGUAAUCAACGUAAGGGCAUUUCUUUUUUUUUUCUCACCCAACUUUUAUCCCGAAAUCAAUCCACAUGCGGAUUGUUUUGUUGAAUUGACGUUAUUUGACAACUCAACCAAAUGUAAAUCAAAACUAGACUGGAGAACAACACCGGACUAACCACACUUCCCUGAGGAGUAUCACUGUCCACUUCAAACCCAUACAUGUGCACUUCUGAGGGGGGAACAAUAAAAAUGUCUUAAAUGAUCAAAUCUGCAACUAAACGCUUAAGGUGCACGCAGCACUUACUGUGCUGGAAUGUGUGGUCAGUCAUGGUUUACAACAUUAGCUCCACAUUUCUAUACCUACCUCAGUACCUCUGAGAAAAUAAGAGCCCUACUAACUUCUAAAAGUUAAAUCCCUGCCAAACCCUACACUUCAAUCUUACACUCUCUUCAACAUACUUACAAUAUAACAACACGCUCCACCAUUUCAUCGACCAUACACUCCAGACACAAACCAUUCACAUGCUGCCAACCAGGUGUAACAAUAAAAUGUGACACAAUAAACUGAGGAAAAUACAGCAAAAACUGAAGUAUAUUUGUUGUAGCGCCCUCAUGUGGCUUUUUCAAGUUACUACUACCAAUAAUUUGACAAAUUCUAUUUUUACUGUAGUGGAAGUGUAAUUUGUCAUUAUUCAUGUGGUAUGUUGAUUGAAAUACAACAACAAAACAUUUACGAACCAAUGUGGACAAAAUAAGGAGCAUCUGGACAUUUAAUGAUAAAAGAUUCUACAGGAGCUGGGACUGAAAUCGAUUUAUUCUUUACAAAGAUAGUGUUACGAUGUAAAUACAAAUCAAUAUGAUUAUAUAAAGUGUGUGUGCGUGAGUGAGUGUGUGUGCGUGAGUGUGUGUGUGGGUGUU